ACAACUGAUUAAUCACUGUCAUUCCUUAUAGGGUCCAGCUUUUCUGGUUAGGUUAACAGAUAAGGAAAAACUCUGGGCCCCAUUGGGUAAAAAUUGCCCACCCGCUCUGGGACCUACGGCGCCACCAGUCUGCCUGCAGUUGUCUGUUAUCAUCAGCUAAGUCCUCUCCUGUUCCCUGAUUAAGAGGUGAUGACAACUCCACUACCAUUGUCAACUCUCUCCUGACAUGAACUGAAGCCACGUCUCAUGUGCUCGCUCAUCCACUGGCACAUUGAAUGUUUCCUCUCCAAGCACUUUAAAUCCUGUCCUGUACUGAAGUCAAGCCUCUUCAGUGCACCUCAACUCAUGCCUCAUACCUCACUGCUGUGAUCCCUUCUCAUUCCCAUUCCCCAUAAUAUUGUACAAUACAUGUCUUUAGUAAAUGAUUUAGGUGAAAAUAAUUUAUCUUUGAUUAUUUUUUAAAUACACUUAGACGUCUCCUUGCGCCUAU